rnacentral:rRNA from 1 species
UACGAAGGGGGCUAGCGUUGUUCGGAUUUACUGGGCGUAAAGCGCACGUAGGCGGAUCGUUAAGUCGGGGGUGAAAUCCUGGAGCUCAACUCCAGAACUGCCUUCGAUACUGGCGAUCUUGAGUCCGGAAGAGGUGAGUGGAAUUCCUAGUGUAGAGGUGAAAUUCGUAGAUAUUAGGAAGAACACCAGUGGCGAAGGCGGCUCACUGGUCCGGUACUGACGCUGAGGUGCGAAAGGCGUGGGGAGCAAACAGG